rnacentral:rRNA from 1 species
UUUCCGGUUGAUCCCGCCGGACCUGACUGCUAUCGGAUUGAUACUAAGCCAUGCGAGUCUUUGCAGUAAUGCAAGGCAUACGGCUCAGUAACACGUAGUCAACUUACCCUAUGGACGAGGAUAAUCUCGGGAAACUGAGCAUAAUACUCGAUAGAUCAUAAUGCCUGGAAUGGUUUAUGGUUGAAAUGAUUCGUCGCCAUAGGAUGGGACUGCGGCCUAUCAGCUUGUUGGUGAGGUAAUGGCCCACCAAGGCGAUUACAGGUACGGGCUCUGAGAGGAGAAGCCCGGAGAUGGGUACUGAGACAAGGACCCAGGCCCUAUGGGGCGCAGCAGGCGAGAAAACUUUGCAAUGUGCGAAAGCACGACAAGGUUAAUCCGAGUGAUUUCUGCUAAAGAAAUCUUUUGCAAGUCAUAAAACCACUAGUGAAUAAGGGGUGGGCAAGUUCUGGUGUCAGCCGCCGCGGUAAAACCAGCACCUCAAGUGGUCAGGAGGAUUAUUGGGCCUAAAGCAUCCGUAGCCGGCUCUGUAAGUUUUCGGUUAAAUCCAUGUGCUCAACGCAUGGGCUGCCGAAAAUACUGCAUAGCUAGGGAGUGGGAGAGGUAGACGGUACUCGGUAGGAAGGGGUAAAAUCCUUUGAUCUAUCGAUGACCACCUGUGGCGAAGGCGGUCUACCAGAACACGUUCGACGGUGAGGGAUGAAAGCUGGGGGAGCAAACCGGAUUAGAUACCCGGGUAGUCCCAGCUGUAAACGAUGCAGACUCGAUGAUGCAUUGGCAUAUAGCCAGUGCAGUGUCGCAGGGAAGCCGUUAAGUCUGCCGCCUGGGAAGUACGUACGCAAGUAUGAAACUUAAAGGAAUUGGCGGGGGAGCACCACAAGGGGUGAAGCCUGCGGUUCAAUUGGAUUCAACGCCGGGA